UCACCCGUCAUUGGGGAGUAGCCGCUCUGCACCACGCAGAGGUUCGCGUCAACACACUUGGCCCUCAUGGCCAUGGCGCCGACAGCUUCAAGCCUGGCAAGACCUUUGACCGCACAGCCGCCGGAAGGGCCGGGGCUGCUGUGCGGUCUUCUGGUUUUUUCCGGCCCCUGGAGC
rnacentral:sRNA from 2 species